UACGUAGGGUGCAAGCGUUAAUCGGAAUUACUGGGCGUAAAGCGUGCGCAGGCGGUUCUAUAAGACAGAUGUGAAAUCCCCGGGCUCAACCUGGGAACUGCAUUUGUGACUGUAGAGCUGGAGUACGGUAGAGGGGGACGGAAUUCCGCGUGUAGCAGUGAAAUGCGUAGAUAUGCGGAGGAACACCGAUGGCGAAGGCAAUCCCCUGGACCUGUACUGACGCUCAUGCACGAAAGCGUGGGGAGCAAACAGG
rnacentral:rRNA from 1 species